rnacentral:rRNA from 1 species
GGGUCAACCGAGUAAGGCCGCGGGCAGACCACCCGCUUGAUAGGCGGCAAGUGUAAGCGUAGCAAUACGUUCAGCUAAGCCGUACUAAUGGCCGAGGGCUUAUUCA